rnacentral:rRNA from 1 species
GAGUUUGAUCAUGGCUCAGAUUGAACGCUGGCGGCAGGCCUAACACAUGCAAGUCGAGCGGAAACGAGUUAUCUGAACCUUCGGGGAACGAUAACGGCGUCGAGCGGCGGACGGGUGAGUAAUGCCUAGGAAAUUGCCCUGGUGUGGGGGAUAACCAUUGGAAACGAUGGCUAAUACCGCAUAAUACCUUCGGGUCAAAGAGGGGGACCUUCGGGCCUCUCGCGUCAGGAUAUGCCUAGGUGGGAUUAGCUAGUUGGUGAGGUAAUGGCUCACCAAGGCGACGAUCCCUAGCUGGUCUGAGAGGAUGAUCAGCCACACUGGAACUGAGACACGGUCCAGACUCCUACGGGAGGCAGCAGUGGGGAAUAUUGCACAAUGGGCGCAAGCCUGAUGCAGCCAUGCCGCGUGUGUGAAGAAGGCCUUCGGGUUGUAAAGCACUUUCAGUCGUGAGGAAGGUAGUGUAGUUAAUAGCUGCAUUAUUUGACGUUAGCGACAGAAGAAGCACCGGCUAACUCCGUGCCAGCAGCCGCGGUAAUACGGAGGGUGCGAGCGUUAAUCGGAAUUACUGGGCGUAAAGCGCAUGCAGGUGGUUUGUUAAGUCAGAUGUGAAAGCCCGGGGCUCAACCUCGGAAUAGCAUUUGAAACUGGCAGACUAGAGUACUGUAGAGGGGGGUAGAAUUUCAGGUGUAGCGGUGAAAUGCGUAGAGAUCUGAAGGAAUACCGGUGGCGAAGGCGGCCCCCUGGACAGAUACUGACACUCAGAUGCGAAAGCGUGGGGAGCAAACAGGAUUAGAUACCCUGGUAGUCCACGCCGUAAACGAUGUCUACUUGGAGGUUGUGGNCUUUGAGCCGUGGCUUUCGGAGCUAACGCGUUAAGUAGACCACCUGGGGAGUACGGUCGCAAGAUUAAAACUCAAAUGAAUUG